rnacentral:rRNA from 1 species
GACGAACGCUGGCGGCGUGCCUAAUACAUGCAAGUCGAACGCAGUGGGGACGGGUGAGUAACACGUGGGUAACCUCCCAUCAGAGGGGAUAACACUUGGAAACAGGUGCUAAACCGAUACUGAUUGAUGGACCCGCGGUGCAUUAGCUAGUUGGUGAGGUAACGGCUCACCAAGGCCACGAUGCAUAGCCGACCGGAUAGGGUGAUCGGUCCCACUGGGACUGAGACACGGCCAAGACUCAAACGGGAGGCAGCAGUAGGGAAUCUUCGGCAAUGGACGAAAGGCUGACCGAGCAACGCCGCGUGAGUGAAGAAGGUUUGCGGAUCGUAAAACUCUGUUGUUAGAGAAGCGGUAUCUAACCAGAAAGCCAAGGAUAACUACGUGCCAGCCGACGCGGUAAUUC